rnacentral:rRNA from 1 species
CGACGCUGGCGGCGUGCCUAAUACAUGCAAGUCGAACGAUGAAGCUUCUAGCUUGCUAGAAGUGGAUUAGUGGCGCACGGGUGAGUAACGCAUAGGUCAUGUGCCUCUUAGUUUGGGAUAGCCAUUGGAAACGAUGAUUAAUACCAGAUACUCCCUACGGGGGAAAGAUUUAUCGCUAAGAGAUCAGCCUAUGUCCUAUCAGCUUGUUGGUAAGGUAAUGGCUUACCAAGGCUAUGACGGGUAUCCGGCCUGAGAGGGUGAACGGACACACUGGAACUGAGACACGGUCCAGACUCCUACGGGAGGCAGCAGUAGGGAAUAUUGCUCAAUGGGGGAAACCCUGAAGCAGCAACGCCGCGUGGAGGAUGAAGGUUUUAGGAUUGUAAACUCCUUUUGUUAGAGAAGAUAAUGACGGUAUCUAACGAAUAAGCACCGGCUAACUCCGUGCCAGCAGCCGCGGUAAUACGGAGGGUGCAAGCGUUACUCGGAAUCACUGGGCGUAAAGAGCGCGUAGGCGGGAUAGUCAGUCAGGUGUGAAAUCCUAUGGCUUAACCAUAGAACUGCAUUUGAAACUACUAUUCUAGAGUGUGGGAGAGGUAGGUGGAAUUCUUGGUGUAGGGGUAAAAUCCGUAGAGAUCAAGAGGAAUACUCAUUGCGAAGGCGACCUGCUGGAACAUUACUGACGCUGAUUGCGCGAAAGCGUGGGGAGCAAACAGGAUUAGAUACCCUGGUAGUCCACGCCCUAAACGAUGGAUGCUAGUUGUUGGAGGGCUUAGUCUCUCCAGUAAUGCAGCUAACGCAUUAAGCAUCCCGCGUGGGGAGUACGGUCGCAAGAUUAAAACUCAAAGGAAUAGACGGGGACCCGCACAAGCGGUGGAGCAUGUGGUUUAAUUCGAGGAUACACGAAGAACCUUACCUAGGCUUGACAUUGAGAGAAUCCGCUAGAAAUAGUGGAGUGUCUAGCUUGCUAGACCUUGAAAACAGGUGCUGCACGGCUGUCGUCAGCUCGUGUCGUGAGAUGUUGGGUUAAGUCCCGCAACGAGCGCAACCCCCUUUCUUAGUUGCUAACAGGUCAUGCUGAGAACUCUAAGGAUACUGCCUCUGUAAGGAGGAGGAAGGUGGGGACGACGUCAAGUCAUCAUGGCCCUUACGCCUAGGGCUACACACGUGCUACAAUGGGGUGCACAAAGAGAAGCAAUACUGCGAAGUGGAGCCAAUCUUCAAAACGCCUCUCAGUUCGGAUUGUAGGCUGCAACUCGCCUGCAUGAAGCUGGAAUCGCUAGUAAUCGCAAAUCAGCCAUGUUGCGGUGAAUACGUUCCCGGGUCUUGUACUCACCGCCCGUCACACCAUGGGAGUUGUGUUUGCCUUAAGUCAGGAUGCUAAAUUAGCUACUGCCCACGGCACACACA